CGGAGUCGGGGCGAGGGUCGCCGCCGGCCGCAGGGCCGGCGGAGGAAAGUCCGGACUCCACAGGGCAGUGCGCUGGGUAACGCCCAGGCGGGGUGACCCGACGGAAAGUGCAGCAGAGAGCAGACCGCCAGCGGCCGGCGCGGCGACGCGCCGGUGCGGGCAAGGGUGAAACGGUGGGGUAAGAGCCCACCAGCAUCCCGGGUGACCGGGAUGGCUCGGCAAACCCCGCACGGAGCAAGGCCAAAUAGGGGAGCGACGGCGUGGCCCGCGCCGCUCCCGGGUAGGCCGCUCGAGGCGACGGGAAACCGUCGUCCCAGAGGAAUGACCCUCCUCCGGUCCACGGAGAACAGAAUCCGGCUUACGACCGGCUCCGCUCC
rnacentral:RNase_P_RNA from 1 species